rnacentral:rRNA from 1 species
GCAAGUCGAACGGCAAUAGGGUGCUUGCACUCUAUGAGAGUGGCGAACGGGUGAGUAACACGUAGAUGAUCUGCCUUACGAUUGGGGAUAGCCCAUGGAAACAUGGAGUAAUACCGAAUAAGCCCUUGCUGCCUUGGUGGUUUGGGGAAAGGUGCUUCGGGAUCGUCGUAAGAUGAGUCUGCGGUUCAUUAGCUAGUUGGUGGGGUAAAGGCCUACCAAGGCGACGAUGAAUAGCCGGCCUGAGAGGGUGAAC